AUUGAACGCUGGCGGCAGGCCUCACCCAUGCAAGUCGAGCGGCGCGGCGGACGGGUGAGUCAUGCCUAGGAAUCUGCCUGCGGGUGCGGGAUACCGUCCGGUAACGGCCGCUAAAACCGCCACCUACCCCAUGAGCCUUGGUCGGAUUGGCUAGUUGGGGGGGUAAUGCCCUACAAAGGCGACGACCCGUAACUGGUCUGCGAGGAUGAUCAGUCACACUGGAACGGAGAGAGGGUCCAGACGCCUACGGGAGGCAGCAGUGGGGAAUAUUGGAGAAUGGGCGAAAGCCUGAGCCAGCCAUGCCGCGUGUGUGAAGAAGGUCUUCGGAUUGUAAAGCACUUUAAGUUGGUAGGCGUUACCAACAGAAUAAGCACCGGCUAACUUCGUGCCAGCAGCCGCGGUAAUUC
rnacentral:rRNA from 1 species